rnacentral:rRNA from 1 species
UUAGAGGAAGUAAAAGUCGUAACAAGGUUUCGGUAGGUGAACCUGCGGAAGGAUCAUUAUCGUACAACCGAGGCACAAGGGCUGUCGCUGACUUUUUGUCGUGCACGCCCAAAGUGCUCUCAACCAUCCAUCUCACCCUAUGUGCACCACCGCGUGGGUUCCCUUUUGGUUUAUCCCGAGGGGGGCUCGCGUUUUCACACAAACUCGAUACAGUGUAGAAUGUCUCUUUGCGAUAACACGCAAUUAAUACAACUUUCAACAACGGAUCUCUUGGCUCUCGCAUCGAUGAAGAACGCAGCGAAAUGCGAUACGUAAUGUGAAUUGCAGAAUUCAGUGAAUCAUCGAAUCUUUGAACGCACCUUGCGCCCCUUGGCAUUCCGAGGGGCACACCCGUUUGAGUGUCGUGAAAUUCUCAAAAACCUUUCUUUUAUGAAAGGGUUUUGGACUUGGAGGCUUUUUGCUGGCUUCACCUCGAAGCGAGCUCCUCCUAAAUGAAUUAGUGGGGUCUGCUUUGCCGAUCCUUGACGUGAUAAGAUGUUACUACGUCUCGGGUUUGGCGAUGGCACCCGCUUCUAAUCGUCUCAUUGACAAUGAUGGCGUUCCGGUCACCACCGUUUCAUCGGUCGGGAGGCUUGACCCACCAAAAAAACCUUGACCUCAAAUCGGGUGAGACUACCCGCUGAACUUAAGCAUAUCAAUAAGCGGAGGAAAAGAAACUAACAAGGAUUCCCCUAGUAACUGCGAGUGAAGCGGGAAAAGCUCAAAUUUAAAAUCUGGUGGCCUUUGGUCAUCCGAGUUGUAAUUUAGAGAAGCGUCUUCCGCGCUGGACCGUGUACAA